UUGCGCAUGGUUAUUCAUAAAAUUUAAUACGCAUCUAAAAACAUUAAGUGCAGUUUAUGUAUAAUGUUUGACAGAUAAACGCAUUAAAAAUGAAAAUUUAUUUGACAUUACGUUUAUUUCUUUGUGUUUUAAUUUUAAGGGAAGCUUGCCCUAAAAAUGCAGAAGAAAAAGUGGCAAUGUCCGACCACUACCUUUUAAGUGAAGAGUAUAUUGUAAAGAUGAACAGGGCCCCAAGCAGAGGUCCUUAUUUUGAUACUUCAGCUACAAAAAAUGUGACGUCUUUAGUUGGAAAAACAGGACAUUUGAAUUGUCGCAUAAAAAAUCUUGGAAAUAAAACGGUACAUUGCACUGAA